rnacentral:misc_RNA from 1 species
AAAAGAUCUAGCCCGAAGUGGGACUGAGAGGUCGGGAUCGAGGUAUCCGCGACACUGUCGUGGGUGUUUCCCCGAUCAACUCUGACCCAUGCCGGGUUUUCUCACCUCAAAAGUGAGUCAACAUCAUGUGAACUGUUCUGUCUCUGGCGGUGGGGUGGUGUCAAAACUACCUGUCAGCAUCCGGGUUCUCUCGGUGUGCCGUGGACAAGCCGUCAAUGGUGUAUGUUUCAUACAAACUUUUGUUUCAUCAAUCUGUCUGACAUACCUUUGUAUCUAAAAUAUACAAAAA